rnacentral:rRNA from 1 species
AGAAUCAACGCUGGCGGCGUGCCUAACACAUGCAAGUCGAACGAGAAAGUGGAGCAAUCCAUGAGUAAAGUGGCGCACGGGUGAGUAACACGUGACUAACCUACCCUUGAGUGGGGGAUAACCUAGGGAAACCUGGGCUAAUACCGCAUAAUACCUUCGGGUCAAAGGAGCAAUUCGGCUUAAGGAGGGGGUCGCGGCCGAUUAGUUAGUUGGCGGGGUAAUGGCCCACCAAGACUGUGAUCGGUAU